AUGUCGAGCAGUUCAUCGUCGGCGCGGCAUCUCCGGGCACCUCCCCCACUGCUGCCAUUGAUCAUGUGCCCAAGGUGCACUGGGACGAGGACCAGGUGGUUCGUGUCCGGGACGGAUCGUAACCCGGGCAUCCGGUUCUACAAGUGCCCGAACCAGGCAGACGGAGGCCCCUGUGAUUUUUGGCUGUGGGUGGACCAAUACGCAUUCUACAUCACCGGGGUUGGCAUUAACCUACUCAUCAAGGCCGCCGGAGGAGGGAGCAACGUCAUGUUCGGAAUGGGCCGCGCCAUGGACGACAUAUGCAACGUGGUGAGGAACACCAUGAUGAUCUGCUUGCUAAUGCUCUUCGUGGUGCUUGCCAGGUCAGCCGGUGGGCAG
rnacentral:rRNA from 1 species